rnacentral:rRNA from 1 species
AUUGAACGCUGGCGGCAGGCCUAACACAUGCAAGUCGAGCGGAUGAAGGGAGCUUGCUCCUGGAUUCAGCGGCGGACGGGUGAGUAAUGCCUAGGAAUCUGCCUGGUAGUGGGGGAUAACGUCCGGAAACGGGCGCUAAUACCGCAUACGUCCUGAGGGAGAAAGUGGGGGAUCUUCGGACCUCACGCUAUCAGAUGAGCCUAGGUCGGAUUAGCUAGUUGGUGGGGUAAAGGCCUACCAAGGCGACGAUCCGUAACUGGUCUGAGAGGAUGAUCAGUCAAACGGGACCGGGGAACCGUCCCAGACUCUUACGGGAGGCAGCAGGGGGGAAUAUUGGACAAUGGCGAAAGCCUGAUCCAGCCAUGCCGCGUGUGUGAAGAAGGUCUUCGGAUUGUAAAGCACUUUAAGUUGGGAGGAAGGGCAGUAAGUUAAUACCUUGCUGUUUUGACGUUACCAACAGAAUAAGCACCGGCUAACUUCGUG